rnacentral:rRNA from 1 species
CGGGUGGAGCCGCAUUGUAUCUCGUACCGGGGCAUUCAACCCGUUUUGUGGACUGCAGGCCUUUUCAGUGAAGCGGUGCGCUCGCUCGUGCCUUUGAGGCAGGGUUGAACGAUUGGGGGGCGAGACGGGUGCACUUGCUCCGGUCGACCGGAGCCACUACCGGCUCCUUCGCAGGCAGUGUGCACUCCCUUGGUCGGGCUAACGGCAGGACGAACGUCGCUCUGUUUACAGGGCCUCAAUCUCUUGCUCCGACUGGGAGGGAAACUGGCCUGGGGACCGAGGACCGCAUCGGGUUGUCGUCUCCGUUACUCUCGAGCAGUGUGCCCUUGCUGCCUCUUGUGGUGGCAAAACGCGCGCGAGGACGCAUGCGAGCACCGGGUGCGCUUCGACCUAAAUGGUGCUUGUCGUGUGGCGGAUCAAGUCGGUACUC